AAUUUGGCAACACAGAAGACAUCCGGCCAGACAAUCCAUCCACAAUCUGACUAGAUUUUGGCGGCUCACCAACUUCACGGAUUCCUCAUUUUUCCUCGAUCUCCUUCCUCAACCCCGCACACACACUCACACCUAAAACACACACUAGUCACUAAACUCCUCUUUUUACCAAUAAAUCUUCAAACUAAAUUCACCAAAUCACUCCCCUUACCCUCUAGAGAACAUUUUAUAGCUUUAACUUUCUCAAAAACAAGAUUUAAUUCGGAUUCUAACUGCACAAGAACAAGGGUUUCAAUUUCUUGAACCCUUCAUUUGAGGCCGAAUUGGAGUGGAAUUUGAGGGGUUUCGUCACCAUUUGCAUCUGUAAUCAUCAAUCAAGAAGUUUGAGAUAACAAAUCUUCACCAACUUUUGCCAUUUAAAUUUUGUCAUUUUUCACUUUUUUCUAAUUUUUGGGCAAUUUUUGAAUUUCUUAAUUUUGUGAAGUUUUGUAUUUUCCAUUGUACUUGUUGAGAUUAUUAAUGAUUAUUGGUGAUGAUUAACACAUGGGUUUGUGAUUAUUUGGUGAAUUUAGUAAUUUUUAGCUAAUUUUGAGGGUUAAUGUGACUUGAUAAUUAUUAACUAAUUUCUUGAGUUCAUUAGAUUGGAGAAAAUUUUUUGAGAUAGGUGAUUUGCUCUAGGAUGUUUGCAUGCUAAGUUUAGACUUAAUUUGCUUAUCUAUUGGUUUUUGCAUGUUUAUUCUAGGAUUUUUGGUGAAUAGUAAAUUAAUGACCUUUUUAAGCGUAAACUCAUGUUUUAGAUGCUAUUUAGGAUUUAAUUAUACUUACUUACAUCAUUAAGAAGUGACUGAAUUGUGUGUUCGCUUAUUUGUUUCCUCUAAUUAUUUGGGCAUUAUUUUUUAUUGCACCCAUAUGUUUCGUUUAGGCAUUACAAGAGAAAUUGUUGUUGUUAAUGAAGUUUGGUACUUGUGAUGUUGAAUGAUACUUAUUAUGUAAGUAAAUUAAUUAUUUUGUCUUUUUGAAGAAAAGGGUAAAUUUGAAUGAGUGUUCAUUAUCCUUUACUUAAUUAUGUACCUAUUUAAUGAAAUUAAUGUUUAAUAAUUUUAUGAGGUACAAUGGCUCGCACUAAGAAAGUAAGGGUGAAAUCUCCACCUCCCAAGAGAAAAGAAGGAGUUUCUACUUCUACUCCUAGACCACCACAUAUGAAAAGAAAAGCAAGUAGACGACUUGUACUUGAAAAGGAACCAUUAUCAGAACAGGAGGCUCAACAACAAGUAGAACAAGAAGAAGAACAAGGGGAACAAGAGGAGCAAAUUUCAUACAAUAAGUCGCGCUUCACUCUGCUGAAAGUAAAACAUGGUAUGAUUCUCGUAGGGAAGCUAAGGUGUUUGGUGAGAAGGUUACUCCUGAUACCAAGAAAGUUUACCAUCUCAAGGCCUAUUUGCUAAAAUUGGGAUGGGAGAAUUUCUUCAACCUCCCAAACAUUUAUUAUGAAGAGCUUGUUCAUGAAUUUCAUGGAAAUGUGGAAGGCAAGCAAUCUUUUCACUUCGACAUGGAAGAAAUUACAAGUACAGUGCGAGAACCAGUGUCUGAAUCCCUAGAGCUCAUUUGCAAAGCUUUCUUCAGGUUUUUGACAUGGGAUAUAAGGUUGAUUUGAAGAAAGCAUUUAAACCUCAUGACUUGGACUCAUAGAACAUGCUAGAGGCACUUGUAUGUUUGGGAGUUCAGUACAAGGCCACUCAUAAAUUUGGGCAAUAUUCUGUAUUAACUUCCUCUUUUAAGGAAUCUCAGUAUCUUCUCAUCUAUUUGUUUGCUUUCAAUGUAAUUCCAAGAGUGAGUGGUACUAAUGAGGCACGUACAAGUGAUAUCUAUUUCUUGGACAAGAUGGAGCAUGGGUUAGGCAACCUCUAAGGUAUUCCAUUGGGAAACAUUAUCACCAACAUAUGAGGGCAGUGGUUUACAAUAAUGCUAUCAAAUAUGCUUUCCUAUAUGCCGUUUCUUGACCUUGGUGUUUCAACGGGUUGGAGUAGAUUUCACUAAUGCUACCCCUACG
rnacentral:lncRNA from 1 species